rnacentral:rRNA from 1 species
GACGAACGCUGGCUGCGUGCUUAACAGAGGCAGGUCGAACGGAAAGGCCCUGCUUUUGUGGGGUGCUCGAGUGGCGAACUGGUGAGUAACACGUGAGUAACCUGCCCUUGACUUUGGGAUAACUUCAGGAAACUGGGGCUAAUACCGUAUAGGAGCUCCUGCUGCAUGGUGGGGGUUGGAAAGUUUCGGCGGUUGGGGAUGGACUCGCGGCUUAUCAGCUUGUUGGUGGGGUAGUGGCUUACCAAGGCUUUGACGGGUAGCCGGCCUGAGAGGGUGACCGGCCACAUUGGGGCUGAGAUACGGCUGAGAGUCCUACGGGAGGCAGCAGUGGGGAAUAUUGCACAAUGGGCGGAAGCCUGAUGCAGCAACGCCGAGUGCGGGAUGACGGCCUUCGGGUUGUAAACCGCUUUCGCCUGUGACGAAGCGUGAGUGACGGUAAUGGGUAAAGAAGCAACGGAUAACUACGUG